rnacentral:rRNA from 1 species
UGGUGCAUGGUUGUCGUCAGCUCGUGUCGUGAGAUGUUGGGUUAAGUCCCGCAACGAGCGCAACCCCUAUUUUCAGUAGCCAGCAUUCAGGAUGGGCACUCUGGAGAGACUGCCCGGGAUAACCGGGAGGAAGGCGGGGAUGACGUCAAAUCAUCAUGCCCCUUAUGACCAGGGCUACACACGUGCUACAAUGGCGUAAACAAAGGGAGGCAAAGCGGUGACGCCAAGCAAAUCCCAAAAAUAACGUCCCAGUUCGGAUUGUAGCCUGCAACUCGGCUGCAUGAAGCUGGAAUCGCUAGUAAUCGCGGAUCAGAAUGCCGCGGUGAAUACGUUCCCGGGUCUUGUACACACCGCCCGUCACACCAUGGGAGUCGGAAACGCCCGAAGCCGGUGACCCAACCGAAAGGGGGGAGCCGCCGAAGGUGGGGCCGAUAACUGGGGUGAAGUCGUAACAAGGUAGCCGUAUCGGAAGGUGCGGCUGGAUCACCUC